GAGCGCGUCGGGCUUACCCGUUAAGCCUUUGAUAAAUAACGGGACUUAGUGCCUUGACAUCGUAGGGGUCGCUGGUUCAAUCCCAGCUGCGCCCACCA
rnacentral:tRNA from 1 species